rnacentral:rRNA from 1 species
GGAUUAGAUACCCUGGUAGUCCACGCCCUAAACGAUGGGCACUAAGUGUCGGCGGGUUACCGCCGGUGCCGCAGCUAACGCAGUAAGUGCCCCGCCUGGGAAGUACGGCCGCAAGGUUGAAACUCAAAGGAAUUGACGGGGGCCCGCACAAGCGGUGGAGCAUGUGGUUUAAUUCGACGCAACGCGAAGAACCUUACCCAGGUUGGACAUGCAGGUAGUAAGAACCUGAAAGGGGGAUGAGCCCGCAAGGGCAGCCUGCUCAGGUGCUGCAUGGCUGUCGUCAGCUCGUGCCG